UACGAGGGGGGCAAGCGUUGUUCGGAUUCAUUGGGCGUAAAGGGUGCGUAGGCGGCGCGGUAAGUCGGGUGUGAAAUCUCGGAGCUUAACUCCGAAACUGCGUUCGAUACUGCCGUGCUUGAGGACUGGAGAGGAGACUGGAAUUUACGGUGUAGCGGUGAAAUGCGUAGAUAUCGUAAGGAAGACCAGUGGCGAAGGCGGGUCUCUGGACAGUUCCUGACGCUGAGGCACGAAGGUCAGGGGAGCAAACGGG
rnacentral:rRNA from 1 species